rnacentral:lncRNA from 1 species
GACAGCCAGCCUAUUUAGAAAAUAUAGCCGCCAAGAAAAGCUGUGCCAGGGAAGAGGAGCACGUUUGUACCAAAGUCCAGUUUCACAAUGGGCUCAUUCCUUCUGCCAUUUAUACGAAGCCUCAGCUGAUCAGACUGAAACAUUCUUCUUGCUGGCUUCCUUCAUUUUAUUAAUAACCUGGCAACAGGAUAGGGGCCAGGAAAAAAGACCUCCUAGAAUGGAGGAUUUACUGAAGAAACCAGAAGUGAAAGACUACUCCUCCCACUGAAGUAAGUAUUUAUGUUAGCUGGUAAUUUAGCUCCACAAGGCAGUCAAGUGUUCAUUCAAAGUUACAUCCACCCUCUUUUUCAGACACCUAUAAUAGAUUGAAGUAAGGUAUGAUUAAAUACUGAGUUCUAUUUCCUGGUCUAACAGCUAUGCACACAAUUGCUGUGCUUGAUUUUAUGUCAUUAUUAAGUGUCGGAGAUCAUUUUUAACAGAAAACUAAUCUUACCUGAAAGUUCUCUAUAAAGCAUAAUAACUUAUUUAAGAUUAACUGCUGAAACACUCUAGAUUAUGUUUGACCAUUUAAAUCCUGAUCUAGAUAAAUCUACAAGAACAUAUACAUAAAUAUUGGAAAUCGAAGAAAAUGAUUGUGUUUCGUUUUUCCAGUUAAUAUGACUGUUUGAGAGGCUAAGAGCUAUAAGCAUAAGCUGAAGAGCACAUCAAAGUCAAAGCUGUUAAAAUAACAGAGCAGAAAGCAAACUAUUUUGCAGUCCAGGAAGUUACCAAGUCACGGGACUUCCCACAGACUAUCAGAAGCAUAAUUGCAGAGGAAGCAGAUGUUAGGUGACAAGCGAGGUUGCAAGGUCUCUCAUUUCAAAGGGAUCAUAAGGCAGAAAUCAGGCUGGAGCACUGGAAAGUGUGAGAUACCAGACAGAGAGGCAUGAAAUUGUAAGUACCCUAUUGUCUGAUUUCUCAUAUGUUCAGGAGGGCACAAUUUUGUGCUGGCGGAGUACCACCAAGACUGCACCUAACAACCAUAGAUUCCAUUAACAAUUCUCUUCCUUACGUAGCAACUAAAAAAUGCUGAGGCUUAUUCUAAUUAUUUCAGGAAAAGUAGGUGUUUGUGUUUUAGGAAGCUUAAGUAAGACACUAUAAAAUCAAGACUCUUACUGUUUUGUUUAAAGUUUACUCGAUGAUCUCUUGAGGUCCUUUCCAAACCCUGCGAUUCUGUGAAAUAUUGUAGUUAAAUGUUGCCUUUCGGUUUCUUUUUAGCACCACAGCUGGUAUUAAUCGAAACAGGCAGAGAGUAUUCAGAGUUGAUAAUGUAUUUAAAACUCAUCUUUUAAGCAGGUGGGAUAUUUUUCAGCUUCAGAACAAACAAUAUUUUUUUCGGGAACUAAAGGAGACUACAGUGAAAUCAGAUGCAAAGAAAUAGUGACCGUUUUCUCAACAUUGGAAUGUAAUCUUAUAUGAACUGAAACUUUAGCAACACAUGCUCAUUUGAAAGAAAAGAUAGUACUAAGUGCAACAGCAAGUAUAUCGUAAAAGUUUGGUGUGCAGAGUAUUUUUUUAGAAUGGCAGAAACUAUUCCUGUUCAGAAAUGAUUGUUCUGGCAACAGCUGAGAAAAAAAAAAAAAAAAGUAAAAUUAAUUAUCAUUAGUUAGAAAAACAUUGUUUACAUUUUUAGUCACCUAGUUUAGUAGACUGUAGCUAACAAUUGUAGCCUGUGAUUUCCAAAAAAGCUGGCACAUGUUUGAACCCAAAAUCAUAUAUCAUACUCAAAGAAUUGAUACUUUCCCCUUCUUGGAGAAUUUGUUUAUCAGUUAAUCUUCCUGAGAACAGAACAAAAUUAAAGACAAAUAUAAACAUUGGCAAUCACUGGCGGUUUCCAGACACAAAACAAUUAUUUGAGGAGGUUGCAAUAGGUUGUUUAUACAGUUCUUUAAUAUACCUGCUUCCUUCAUGUAAGAGAAGGAGGUAAUUUGUUUCUUUAUGUUCCCUAUCUGUAACGUUUUAUUCACAGUCACUAUUCAUGCCCUAGAAGUCUUCUGGUUUCUAAUAGGAGGACUAGUUUUGAAUUGUUUUGUUUUCUGAAGUAAGUGGAUGGUAAUACUCUUGAUGUGCUAGAAUUACUAAUUUGAAGUAGAGACCGACUACUGCUGUUUCUUGUAGGCUCCUUGUUCUAAAAAUAGGCUGUUGGGAUAAAUUUUAACUUGCUCAAAUUAGUGAUAUAUGCAGACAAAUUAUGUGAAGAGAAAGCAUAUCAAAAUUUUGAUUGCAUGGAGUUGAAAAUGCACAAAAGAUCACCUUGCCAAGAAGACACGAGGUGCAAGGGAAUGUAUGUUUUCUGUAAUUUCCUGCUUUGUGUAAUUUGCAUGUAAAAACUAAAAUGGCGACUUUUGUGCAGAGAUGUACAGGAGAUGUACAUGAAUUAUUCUAUUUUUACUAGAAUUAUGUAUUUUUAAUAGAAUUAUGUAUUUUUAAUAGAAUGAUGAUUAGACUACUAGUCACUAGAAAGUAGCAGCAUUCCAAAUGUAAGAGAGAGUAAAUGAGAGUGCUCGCCUGUAGUAGAUUUUAACACUUGGGUAUUGCAGGAAGAGACUAGUAAUUUUUUUUUUUAUUUUUAAUGAAAUUUCGGUGUAAAUUUCCGAAGACUUAUUUAACAGGAAAUUUUUAAGGCAUGGAUCUGCCUGAUGUGAGAAUGACAGUUGAAAACGUCACCAGAACAAUGUAUGAUUUUUGCACUGAACAACUGUAGCAAAAAAAAAAUCUUGACAUUAUUUCUAUAAAUAAACAUGACAGGCAUUAAAGGUGAGGAAUGUUA